rnacentral:rRNA from 1 species
AGAGUUUGAUCCUGGCUCAGGAUGAACGCUGGCGGCGUGCUUAACACAUGCAAGUCGAACGAAGCACUUUAUUUGAUUUCCUUCGGGACUGAUUAUUUUGUGACUGAGUGGCGGACGGGUGAGUAACGCGUGGGUAACCUGCCUUGUACAGGGGGAUAACAGUUGGAAACGGCUGCUAAUACCGCAUAAGCGCACAGCAUCGCAUGAUGCAGUGUGAAAAACUCCGAUGGUAUAAGAUGGACCCGCGUUGGAUUAGCUAGUUGGUGAGGUAACGGCCCACCAAGGCGACGAUCCAUAGCCGACCUGAGAGGGUGACCGGCCACAUUGGGACUGAGACACGGCCCAAACUCCUACGGGAGGCAGCAGUGGGGAAUAUUGCACAAUGGGCGAAAGCCUGAUGCAGCGACGCCGCGUGAGCGAAGAAGUAUUUCGGUAUGUAAAGCUCUAUCAGCAGGGAAGAUAAUGACGGUACCUGACUAAGAAGCACCGGCUAAAUACGUGCCAGCAGCCGCGGUAAUACGUAUGGUGCAAGCGUUAUCCGGAUUUACUGGGUGUAAAGGGAGCGCAGGCGGUGCGGCAAGUCUGAUGUGAAAGCCCGGGGCUCAACCCCGGUACUGCAUUGGAAACUGUCGUACUAGAGUGUCGGAGGGGUAAGCGGAAUUCCUAGUGUAGCGGUGAAAUGCGUAGAUAUUAGGAGGAACACCAGUGGCGAAGGCGGCUUACUGGACGAUAACUGACGCUGAGGCUCGAAAGCGUGGGGAGCAAACAGGAUUAGAUACCCUGGUAGUCCACGCCGUAAACGAUGAAACUAGGGUGUUGGGAAGCAAUUGCUUUUCAUGGGCCGUCGGCCAAACGCAGAAAGUAUUCCACAUGGGGAGUACGUUCGCAAGAAUGAAACUCAAAGGAAUAGACGGGGACCCGCACAAGCGGUGGAGCAUGUGGUUUAAUUCGAAGCAACGCGAAGAACCUUACCAAGUCUUGACAUCCUUCUGACCGGUACUUAACCGUACCUUCUCUUCGGAGCAGGAGUGACAGGUGGUGCAUGGUUGUCGUCAGCUCGUGUCGUGAGAUGUUGGGUUAAGUCCCGCAACGAGCGCAACCCUUAUCUUUAGUAGCCAGCGGUUCGGCCGGGCACUCUAGAGAGACUGCCAGGGAUAACCUGGAGGAAGGCGGGGGUGACGUCAAAUCAUCAUGCCCCUUAUGACUUGGGCUACACACGUGCUACAAUGGCGUAAACAAAGGGAAGCAAAGCUGUGAAGCCGAGCAAAUCUCAAAAAUAACGUCUCAGUUCGGACUGUAGUCUGCAACCCGACUACACGAAGCUGGAAUCGCUAGUAAUCGCAGAUCAGAAUGCUGCGGUGAAUACGUUCCCGGGUCUUGCACACACCGCCCGUCA